CGCACAUUGCGCCCCUUGGUAUUCCGGGGGGCAUGCCUGUUCGAGCGUCAUUUCAACCCUCAAGCUUUGCUUGGUCUUGGGCUCUGCCGGCAACGGCUUGCCUUAAAAUCAAUGGCGGGGCCACCGAACCCUUCGCGUAGUAGUUAUUUUUUCUCGCGAUUGGGAUUCGAUUGGAACCAUAGCCUCACCCUAAUUUAACAUUGGUUGACCUCGGAUCAGGUAGGGAUACCCGCUGAACUUAA
rnacentral:misc_RNA from 1 species